GAAGGUAUAGCUCAGUGGUAGAGUGCAUGCUUUGCCUGUAGGAGGUCCUGGGUUCAAUCCCCAGUACCUCCA